AGUAUUAGAGGCACUGCCUGCCCAGUGACACACGUUUAACGGCCGCGGUACCCUGACCGUGCAAAGGUAGCAUAAUCACUUGUUCUUUAAAUAGGGACUCGUAUGAAUGGCACCACGAGGGUUUAACUGUCUCUUACUUUCAACCAGUGAAAUUGACCUGUCCGUGAAGAGACGGACAUGAAGCAAUAAGACGAGAAGACCCUGUGGAGCUUCAAUUUAUUAGUACAACUAAAAACCGUACAAACCAACAGGUCCUAAACCCCUACAUCUGUGCUAAAAAUUUUGGUUGGGGCGACCUCGGAGCACAACUAAACCUCCGAAUAAUCCACGCUAAGACUACACAAGUCAAAGCAAACUGACACUUACAAUUGACCCAAUAAUUUGAUCAACGGAACAAGUUACCCCAGGGAUAACAGCGCAAUUCUAUUCUAGAGUCCAUAUCAACAAUAGAGUUUACGACCUCGAUGUUGGAUCAGGACAUCCUGAUGGUGCAGCAGCUAUCAAGGGUUCGUUUGUUCAACG
rnacentral:rRNA from 1 species